AGCAGCCGCGGUAAUUCCAGCUCCAAUAGCGUAUAUUAAAGUUGUUGCAGUUAAAAAGCUCGUAGUUGAAUUUUGGGUUUGGCCGAUUGGUCCGUUCUUGUAACGAGUACUGGUCGGUUGGGCCUCACCGCCUGGUGAUACGUAAUGUCCUUUAUUGGGUGUUGCGAGUAGCCAGGACCUUUACCUUGAAAAAAUUAGAGUGUUUAAAGCAGGCUUAUGCCGGAAUACAUUAGCAUGGAAUAAUAGAAUAGGACGAUGAUUCUAUUUUGUUGGUUUCUAGGAGCAUCGUAAUGAUUAAUAGGGAUAGUUGGGGGCAUUAGUAUUCAAUUGUCAGAGGUGAAAUUCUUGGAUUUAUUGAAGACUAACUACUGCGAAAGCAUUUGCCAAGGAUGUUUUCAUUAAUCAAGAACGAAAGUUAGGGGAUCGAAGACGAUCAGAUACCGUCGUAGUCUUAACCAUAAACUAUGCCGACUAGGGAUCGGGCGAUGUGUUUCAAUGACUCGCUCGGCACCUUAUGGGA
rnacentral:rRNA from 1 species